rnacentral:tRNA from 1 species
GCACCUCUAGCUCAAUUGGUAGAGCAACGGACUCUUAAUCCGCAGGUUCUGGGUUCGAGUCCCAGGGGGUGUACCA